rnacentral:tRNA from 1 species
GANNGAUUAACUCAGCGGGAGAGUGCUACCUUGACGUGGUAGAAGUCACAAGUUCAAUCCUUGUAUCGCCCA